GGGUUUUUGGUGGGUAGCGGCGUGGCGCGGGGGUAGCAGCAGUAGCAACGCAUCAGGAGCAUUUGGUUAGCUAGGCAGUUUCAGGGGAGAGCUUUGCUGCCGCUGGUCGCUGUGCAUUGAAGAGUUGGAGCUGACCUGCUUGUGGCUUGCUCGGUUCGAGGGUAAGGGUGCCGGGCGUUUGUGCGGCUGGGAGGCGGCUAUCGAAGCUGGGGAGAAAUUAAAGCAGCAAAGGCCCGCGAUUUUAAAGCGGGUUUGUGUGGCUCGCUGCUCGCCGCUACUGUGUUCCUCUCGCAUCGCCUCGUCUCGUCUAGUCUCGUCUGGCUUCUCUUUCUCCCUCUCUCUCUCUCUUGCGAGGUUCUCAGGUCAGGUCAGGUCGCUGCCGCGGGUCUCAGAUCCUUAUCUCCUUGCUUGCUCUGCUGCGGCCUGCGGGAGCGGGGCCAUUCGGAGCCUGGAUAUGGGGUCUGUUGAGCAGUGGGUGGAAGGGGAGGGCGCGCCGAAUCGGAGGUGAUCCGGCCAUGGGGUAGGCUGGGUGGGUGCGGCGGGUAUGGAGGGGUCCCGUGUGGACGCCGUGGCAGGCGGGCGGCGGUGGGGGAAAGGGGAGGAGGGUGGAGGAGGAGGAGGUGGUGGCGGAGGGAGGAGAGGAGGGGAGGACGGGGGUGAGGUGAGCCUGCGGGAGUGGCUGGACCGGCCCGGCCGGGCGGUGGAAGCUCCAGAGUGCCUGCACGUGUUCCGCCAGGUGGCGGAGUCGGUGGCCAUCGCGCACGCGCAGGGGGUGGCCGUAGGCAGCGCGCGUCCCUCGUGCUUCGUCGUGUCGCCGCCCUUCGCCCGCGUCGCGUUCAUCGAGUCCGCCUCCGGCUCGGACGCCUCUGGCUCCUGCUCCGGCUCCGAUGGCUCGGAGGAGGGCGACCCGGACACCUCGCCUCCGCGGCGACGACGAGACGGCGCCGGCCGAGGGGAAGACCGCGGGGGCAAGACGUUCCCGCUGAGGAGCGUGCUGGCGAUGGAGCUCAGCUGGUACACCAGCCCCGAGGAGGCCGACGACAGCGGCGGUGCUACCUUCGCCUCCGACGUGUACAGGUUGGGGGUGCUUUUGUUCGAGCUGUUUUGUACGUUCGAGACGAUGGAGGAGAAGAGGCGAGCAAUGGCGAACCUACGGCACCGUGUCCUACCUCCACAGUUACUGCUCAAGUGGCCCAAGGAAGCAUCCUUCUGUCAGUUGCUGAUGCACCCUGUGCCGGACACCCGACCGAAGAUGGGUGAGGUGCUACAAAGUGAGUUCCUUAAUAGGUCAAGAAAUAGUCUGGAGGAGCGUGAAGCAGCACUUCGAUUACGUGAAGAGAUAGAAGAACAAGAAUUACUGCUGGAUUUUCUUCUGCAACUACAGAGAAGAAAGCAAGAUAUUGCAGACAAUUUGCAGGAUACCGUUGCAUUUCUCUCUGCUGACAUCAAUGAAGCAAUGCACCAGCAGUCAGCUCUGGGGCAAUGUGGAACCUUCUCAUUUGAGUUGGAUAAAGAGGUGUGCUCUGAAACUGUUGAAGAUCAGAGCGAUUGUGGAUCCAGAAAGCGUUUCCGACCAGAGUUACCAGCUGUAGAUAUGGAGGAACAGAAUCGUAGUCUCGAAGAAUGUUCAGGAACAGUUCCAUCAUCUGUGCUAAUCCAGGAAACUGUGUUGUCUAAAAGCUCUAGGCUAAUGAAGAACUUCAAAAAACUUGAAACAGCAUAUUUUCUGACAAGAUCCAAGGUGGCAAAGCAAGUUGGGAAUCCAGUAAGUAGUUGUCAUCAAGUUGUGCGAAGGACUACUGGGUCGCCUGUUGUGACUGAGGGAAGUUCAAUAGAUGAUUUUGCUUUGGAAGGGCAUUAUGGUACAAGGCAAAGAGGUUGGAUGAACUCUUUUCUUGAGGGAUUGUGUAGUUACUUAUCAUUCAGUAAGUUGAAAGUGAAGGCAGAACUGAAGCAGUGCGAUCUGCUGAACUCAUCAAACUUAGUGUGCUCUGUAGGCUUCGACCGGGAUAAAGAGUUCUUUGCAACUGCCGGUGUAAAUAAGAAGAUAAAAGUGUUUGAAUAUAAUAUGAUUGUAAAUGAACAUCGUGAUAUUCACUAUCCUGUAGUUGAGAUGUCUAAUAGAUCAAAAUUAAGUUGUAUUUGCUGGAACAGCUACAUGAAGAGCCAUAUAGCAUCUAGUGACUUUGAAGGUAUCGUACAGGUUUGGGAUGUUACCAGGAGCCAAGUUUUCGUUGAAAUGAGGGAACAUGAGAGGCGUGUGUGGUCGGUGGACUUCUCGCUUGCGGACCCAACAAAAUUGGUUAGCGGGAGUGAUGAUGGUUCAGUGAAGCUGUGGAAUAUGAAUCAGGCAAUUCUAUUCUUGCACCUGGUGCUGGGAGUGUUGGGACUAUCAGAACAAGAGCAAAUGUAUGCUCUGUGCAAUUUCAACCUGAUUCUGCUCGCUCCAUUGCCAUCGGCUCAGCAGAUCACAAAAUUUACUGCUAUGAUCUUCGAAAUAUACGAGCUCCUUAUUGUACAUUACUUGGCCACACAAAAACAGUUAGCUAUGUUAAGUAUGUGGAUGCAUCAACUAUAGUAUCCGCAUCUACUGACAACUCAUUGAAGCUCUGGGACUUGUCCAUGAGCCAGGCAAGGAUAAUUGACAGUCCGCUUCAGACAUUUACAGGUCAUACGAACACAAAGAAUUUCGUUGGACUUUCUAUAUCUGAUGGUUACAUUGCUACUGGCUCAGAGACAAAUGAGGUUUUUGUCUACCAUAAAGCAUUUCCGAUGCCAGUCUUGGCAUAUAAAUUCAGUGUCACAGACCCUAUAUCAGGCCAGGAGAUUGACGAUCCUUCACAGUUCAUUUCAUGCGUGUGUUGGAGAGGGCAGUCUUCAACGCUUCUUUCUGCUAACUCCAGCGGGAACAUUAAAAUCUUAGAAAUGGACUGACCCUGUGCAAACGGUGUGCGCGCGCGCAUCCAGUUUCCAAUAGAAAUGAACUGACUUGACACUAAGGGUGUGUGUGCUCUGGCGUUGAAACUUGGCACUCAAAUGCAGAGAAGUCUAUAGGGUGCGAUGUAACUUUACUAGAGUUGAGAGUUAGGAGAUUGAUAGAACGAGUGGUAGACGUAUCAGAGUUAGCGUAGGGAUUAGAUAGCAAACGUAGCAUAAAUA